rnacentral:rRNA from 1 species
CCUACGGGCGGCAGCAGUGAGGAAUAUUGGUCAAUGGGCGCGAGCCUGAACCAGCCAAGUCGCGUGAAGGAUGACGGCCCUACGGGUUGUAAACUUCUUUUGUCAGGGAGCAAUUUGGUCCACGCGUGGGCUUAGCGAGAGUACCUGAAGAAAAAGCAUCGGCUAACUCCGUGCCAGCAGCCGCGGUAAUACGGAGGAUGCGAGCGUUAUCCGGAUUUAUUGGGUUUAAAGGGUGCGUGGGGGGAAUAUAAAGUCAGCGGGAAAAAUUCGGGGCUCAACCCCGUCGUGCCGUUGAAACUGAUGUUCUUGAGUGGGCUAGAAGUAUGCGGAAUGCGUGGUGUAGCGGUGAAAUGCAUAGAUAUCACGCAGAACUCCGAUUGCGAAGGCAGCAUACCGGCGCCCAACUGACGCUGAAGCACGAAAGCGUGGGUAUCGAACAGGAUUAGAUACCCGAGUAGUC